UACGGAGGGUGCGAACGUUAAUCGGAAUCACUGGGCGUAAAGCGCGCGUAGGCGGUUUGUUAAGUGGGAUGUGAAAUCCCCGGGCUUAACCUGGGAAUUGCAUUUCAAACUGGCCGACUAGAGUACGGUAGAGGGAGGUAGAAUUUCCUGUGUAGCGGUGAAAUGCGUAGAUAUAGGAGGGAAUACCAGUGGCGAAGGCGGCCUCCUGGAUCGAUACUGACGCUGAGGCGCGAAAGCGUGGGGAGCAAACAGG
rnacentral:rRNA from 1 species